rnacentral:lncRNA from 1 species
UGAACAUUUCUCUAGCUUCCAUCGUGCCGAACUCCUUUAGAUUUUUGAUAGGAUUUCUUUCUCUUUGUAGUUUGGCUGAAGUUCGGCCGACGCUUUCUUUGUUUAGAAAUUUUUACACCUUCAAGCGUCAUCCCUCGGCAAAGGAUUGGUGGUACUUCUCCCCUCAGUUCGGUAGAAAGAGAUUGCUGAAAGGCGCCCCUUCU